AUUGAACGCUAGCGGCAUGCCUAACACAUGCAAGUCGAACGAGUGGCGGACGGGUGAGUAAUUUCUGGGAAACUGCCUGAUCGAGGGGGAUAACUACUGGAAACGGUAGCUAAUCCCGCAUACCAUCAGAUCUGCCCAAAUGGGAUUAGCUAGUUGGUGGGGUAACGGCUCACCAAGGCGACGAUCCCUAGCUGGUCUGAGAGGAUGACCAGCCACACUGGGACUGAGACACGGCCCAGACUCCUACGGGAGGCAGCAGUGGGGAAUUUUGCACAAUGGGGGAAAGCCUGAUGCAGCCAUCCCGCGUGUAUGAAGAAGGCCUUCGGGUUGUAAAGUACUUUUAGCAGGGAGGCGUUAUCUGCAGAAUAAGCACCGGCUAACUACGUGCCAGCAGCCGCGGUAAUAC
rnacentral:rRNA from 1 species